AUGGUCACAUCAUCUUGAAACUCUGGUUCCCGUAUGAUCACUGAAGUUAAGCAAUAUCAGGUCUGGUCAGUACCUAUAUGGGUGAUCAUUUGGGAAUACCAGGUGCUGUAAG